rfam:Picea glauca, whole genome shotgun sequence.
UACAACAUAGCGUUAAUGCACCAGUUCCCAUUAGAACUUCACAGUUAAGCAUGCUCAGGAUAGAGUAGUACUGGGAUGGGUGACCACUCGGGAAGUUCUAGUGUUUUAC